CCCUAUGGGGUGCGCUUCGAGGGCGACUGGUAUGUGGUCGGCCACUGCCACCUGCGCGGCGCGAUCCGCACCUUCAGCCUGGCCCGCAUGGUCACGGCGCGCAAGGGGAAGGAACGCUUUGACCUGCCCCUUCAUUUCGAUUUCCGCCAACUGUUUGGCAGCCACUUCGGCAUUCACUGGGGCGAGGAUGAGGUGGAGGUGCGGAUUUACUUUGCCAAGCGUGCCGCCUCCUAUAUCCGGGAGCGGCAAUGGCACCCUUCCCAGGUCAUCGAGGAAGGGGCGGACGGCUCGCUGAUCCUGACCCUGACCGUCAAUCAUCUCCUGGAAUUGAAGCGGUGGAUUCUCUCCUGGGGCGAUGCGGCCCGGGUGCGCGCGCCGCAGGAAUUGGCGGGGGGGC
rnacentral:rRNA from 1 species